CCUGCGGAGGGAUCAUUACCGAGUUUACAACUCCCAAACCCCUGUGAACAUACCACUUGUUGCCUCGGCGGAUCAGCCCGCUCCCGGUAAAACGGGACGGCCCGCCAGAGGACCCCUAAACUCUGUUUCUAUAUGUAACUUCUGAGUAAAACCAUAAAUAAAUCAAAACUUUCAACAACGGAUCUCUUGGUUCUGGCAUCGAUGAAGAACGCAGCAAAAUGCGAUAAGUAAUGUGAAUUGCAGAAUUCAGUGAAUCAUCGAAUCUUUGAACGCACAUUGCGCCCGCCAGUAUUCUGGCGGGCAUGCCUGUUCGAGCGUCAUUUCAACCCUCAAGCACAGCUUGGUGUUGGGACUCGCGUUAAUUCGCGUUCCUCAAAUUGAUUGGCGGUCACGUCGAGCUUCCAUAGCGUAGUAGUAAAACCCUCGUUACUGGUAAUCGUCGCGGCCACGCCGUUAAACCCCAACUUCUGAAUGUUGACCUCGGAUCAGGUAGGAAUACCCGCUGAACUUAAGCAUAUCAAUAAGCGGAGG
rnacentral:rRNA from 1 species